CCUAACGGUAUCGAGCGAGCCGGUUGUAGACGUGGUCCAGGUUUCUGCACAGGAAUAUCGAGAGCGUCAUGAACCCGAGCUAUAGAGAAAGGAGAUGAGGUCAGAGAAGUCGAAGGGGUGCUGGCGAGACGGGGGUGAUGCCCACCCGGGCGAGAAAGGCCCCGCCCCAUUCGACAGGUUUAUGCUCCGAACCCCUGCCCACCUCGCGGUAGAUGUGGCUCUCUGCAGGGACAGCGCAGAUGUCUGCACUGUGUCUGGACCGCGCCAGGUGUCCAAGCCUGCUGAGCUGGGGCAAGAUCACCUUAUCUAGGAUUGUGGAGUCGUUGGUCGCCGACAAGUUGUAGCAGGAGCAGGGCACGCGGUGCGCCUCCGACCCGUUACCUCUCAGGAUGAGGACUUGGAACCAGUCCUGCGGGUAGUGCCAGCCGCAGCAGCGCAGCUGGGAGAGGGAUACGAGUCAGAGGGACCGGGACUGGAGACAUAUGAUGUUGGGGAUCAGGGGACAAGGUGAUGGGUAUGAGGUCAGGUCGGGGAGCAGGGGACUAAGUGGUGGGUGUGGAGUGGGGGACAGUGGGCUGGGGUCACGAUGGGGCCGGAGCCAGGGGACAUUACGGGAACAUGGGGCUGGGAAAGACGAGUCACGGGGUGACCUGGGGCUGGGGAAGGAGCUGCAGGGUCGCGCUGUGGACUAGAGAUUGGGUGGGUGGUGCAAUUGAGCCUCUGAUACCCGACAGGUGAAUAGGAGUGCGAGACCAUGUGAGUCUCAUCGGGGGCGGGGUCCGGUGGAAGC
rnacentral:lncRNA from 1 species